GUCUGAUUAUAAUGACCUGCUAUGUUUACCUUACUAAAGACCAAACACCUUUUGGAAUAACAAGACUGAAGGACAAAGCUCAGAAGCUUUAUUCAUCAAACAAACCAUGGCAUGCCAGAAAACACUUAUUUGGAGAAGUAUAUCAGCGUUUUGGUGUUUCUCCCUCCAAAGAUUAAUGUUUAACGAUGGGAAAUGCAAGAAGGAAUGUAGUGGGUGUUGGGUAUUGGCCUUUUCAGUCUGUUUCACGGCAGCUGCGUGCGUCCUGCCCUCAUUCCCAGGUGGGACACAGCUCAGCUUCUUCUUUUUCUCUUUAAGGCUGAGUAGCUUCAGAGUGGAUAAUGUCUGACGGAAACCCUGGAAAACAACGCUGACCCCUCCCCACACCCUCGUGCUGGAAACCUACAUUUCUGCUCUUGUGGCUCCAUGUUGCCAGCUGUAUCACUCCAGGGUGCUGACUGAGUCUUUCUGAAUCUAACUGCUUGCAAACAAUCAAAACACCUGACCAGUUCAUCUCCCAGAGCUGUGUUAGCAAACAAGAGGGUCCAUGUGAAAAUCAUAUUUCAUCAGCUACAUUCAGUGUAGAGACAGGAGGGGCAGGAAGAUGCUACGUAAGGCAAGUGAGAGAUGGAGUCAGCCAGCCUGGGCGGCAUUUGGUCCCCUUCUCUGACGGACCAUCGUAGCCCUAGGUUUAUGGCCGAGUUUCUUCUGUUCAGUGGUUGAAAUAAGGAGGAUGUCCUCCAGCAGCAUUUUGAGGACAAGGGAUAAACAGAAGUAAAAGCCCUCCAAAAUGUUCAUCUCCAUCUUUUCUACCUUUGUAUUAUUCCUUCCACCCAUCCUGUGAUAAACAUAAGGGCUUCAAACCAAACCAAGGAGCUCAGGCUAGUAGGAUGGAGAAGGCAAUGGCAACCCACUCCAGGACUCUUGCCUGGAAAAUCCUAUGGACGGAGGAGCCUGGUAGGUUGAGUCUAUGGGGUUGCACAGAGUCGGACACGACUGAUGUGACUUAGCAGCAGCAGCAGCAGGCUAGUAGGAAGCACAGUAGAAAGCCAGAGAGAGGGACUUCCCUCGUGGUCCAGGGGCUGAGACUCAGGGCCCAGUUUCAAUUCCUGGUGGGGGAACCAGAUCCCACAUGCUGCAACUAAGACUUGGCAUGCCGAGACUAAAGAUGCCAUAUGCUAUAACUAGAAGAACUAGCACCCUUGUGCUGCAACAAAGAUCCCACGUUCGGCAACUAGACCUGGUGCAGCCAAAUUAAUUGAUUUAAUGCAAGAAAUUUUAAAAAGAAAACUAGAGAGAAGUCACUGUGGCAUUGGAAGACACGGGAAGUUAAUAAAGGCCAGUGGAACCAACACUGGGCUGGCGUGGACUGGGAUUGAUAGUAACCUGCUGUGUGACCUUAGGGAACUCACCAGACUUUUCUGGGCUUCAGAGGCCUUUCAGCAUCAUCAUUCCAAUGAAGGGAGGACAUGUGCCAAGGAGUGUCCAGCACUGUGGAGCCACACAAAGUCGGGGCAAACGAUGGAGAAUCUGGAGCCCCAGCCUUUAUGGCUGCUUUGCCAAGAAUCCAUUCUGGGCAGGAGACAGGGAUCUGGGCUCCAACCCUCCAGUCAUGGUUCUGAAAAGCCAAGGGAAGACUCUAGAAAUGUUUUCUGGGAAAGCAAGGAGCAAGUAUUCAGGCUCAUCUAUGCAACCCUAGGAGCUGCCCAGAACCUCCACACUAGCUCUGCUCAGCUUCACAGGACAGUAAACUUUCCCACCAGCACUGGACGUGCCGAUAGUUCACUUGGGUGCCCAAGGUCGGGAAGGAAAGGAAAAAGUCGUUCAAGGAUGGUCCCGGUGGUCAGUCGGAAAGGUGGGCGACUCUGGCUUUGAAAACGGUUCACACUCUGCCCAUUUACUUCCAUGCCCUCCCUCGGACUGCUCCAAAACAGACGAUUCAACUGAGUCCCUUUGUAUCCGGUUUUAUUGCUCCGGACCCCUAGGGUCUCACAAGAAACGUGCCCUGCCGAGCCGCUCUCGGAGGCGGCCUCUCCAGCGUUCCCGCUUCUCCCUCGGGGCGGGGAAAGGGAGGGGAGGAGAGGCCGGCCGCAGAGCACGGG
ensembl:lncRNA